UACGGAGGUCCCAAGCGUUAUCCGGAUUUAUUGGGUUUAAAGGGUGCGUAGGCGGGUUAUUAAGUCAGUGGUGAAAGCCUUCAGCUCAACUGAAGAACUGCCAUUGAUACUGAUGAUCUUGAGUACGAUUGAGGUAGGCGGAAUGUGUCAUGUAGCGGUGAAAUGCUUAGAUAUGACACAGAACACCGAUUGCGAAGGCAGCUGGCUACACGAAUAUUGACACUGAGGCACGAAAGCGUGGGGAUCAAACAGG
rnacentral:rRNA from 1 species